CGAAUCACGCUGGCGGCGUGCCUAACACAUGCAAGUCGAACGCGAAAGGGGCUUCGGCCCUGAGUAGAGUGGCGAACGGGUGAGUAACACGUGGGUGACCUACCCUCGAGUGGGGGAUAACAUCCCGAAAGGGGUGCUAAUACCGCAUGACAUCCUGCCUUUGAACAGGCGGACAUUAAAGCCGGGGAUCGCAAGACCUGGCGCUCGAGGAGGGGCUCGCGUCCGAUUAGCUAGCUGGUGGGGUAACGGCCUACCAGGGCUGCGAUCGAUAGCUGGUCUGAGAGGAUGAUCAGCCAGACUGGGACUGCGAACGGCCCAGACUCCUACGGGAGGCAGCAGUUAGGAAUUUUGGGCAAUGGGCGGAAGCCUGACCCAGCAACGCCGCGUGGGUGAUGAAGGCCCUCGGGUCGUAAAGCCCUUUUCCCAGGGAAGAUGGUGACGGUACCUGGGGAAUCAGCCCCGGCUAACUACGUGCCAGCAGCCGCGGUAAUACGUAGGGGGCAAGCGUUGUCCGGAUUUAUUGGGCGUAAAGCGCUCGCAGGUGGUCCGUUGCGUCGUGCGUGAAAGGCCCCGGCUCAACUGGGGAGGGUCGUGCGAUACGGGCGGACUGGAGGCCAGUAGGGGGAUGCGGAAUUCCGGGUGUAGUGGUGGAAUGCGUAGAGAUCCGGAGGAACACCAGCGGCGAAGGCGGCAUCUGGGACUGGUCCUGACACUCAGGAGCGAAAGCGUGGGGAGCGAUCCGGAUUAGAUACCCGGGUAGUCCACGCCGUAAACGAUGAGCACUAGGUGUCGGGGGUAUCGACCCCCUCGGUGCCGCAGCCAACGCGAUAAGUGCUCCGCCUGGGGACUACGGCCGCAAGGCUAAAACUCAAAGGAAUUGACGGGGGCCCGCACAAGCAGCGGAGCGUGUGGUUUAAUUCGACGCAACGCGAAGAACCUUACCUGGGCUUGACAUGCGCGUGGUACGACCUCGAAAGGGGGAGGACCCGCAAGGGAGCGCGCACAGAUGCUGCAUGGCUGUCGUCAGCUCGUGCCGUGAGGUGUUGGGUUAAGUCCCGCAACGAGCGCAACCCUCGCUGCCAGUUACCAUGUCUGGCGGGACCGCCGGGUCCAACCCGGAGGAAGGUGGGGAUGACGUCAAGUCAGCACGGCUCUUACGUCCAGGGCUACACACACGCUACAAUGGCCGGUACAACGCGCGGCGAUGGGGCGACCCGGAGCGAAUCGCAGCAAAGCCGGUCUCAGUUGGGAUUGCAGGCUGCAACUCGCCUGCAUGAACGCGGAGUUGCUAGUAACCGCAGGUCAGCACACUGCGGUGAAUACGUUCCCGG
rnacentral:rRNA from 1 species